rnacentral:lncRNA from 1 species
AAUAGUGGCCCCCUAAAAAGAUAGGUCCAAAUCCUAACACUCAGUACCUGUGAAUGUGACCGUAUUUGGGAAAAAGGUCUGUGCAGAUGUAAUUAAUGAUCUCAAAAUGAGACCAUCUUGGAUUAGCCGGCUGGGUUCUAAUCCAAUGUCCUGUGUCCUUGUAUAAGACAGAAGCAGGACGGACAUAGACACGGAGUGGGAGGCCCCAUGAAGGCAGAGGCAGAGAUUGGAGUGGCGCAGCUCCAGGCCAAGGAAUGCCAAAGAUUGCCCGCAGCCAGCAGGCACUGGGAGAGAGGCCUGGGUCAGGUCAUCCCUCGGAGACUCCAGAAGGAACCAAUCCUGCCGACACCUUGAUUUCCGACUUCCAGCCUCCAGAAUUGACAGUUAUGAUGGAGAGAACUGGGUGUCACCAUUUUAACCAAACUCAGCAUCACUAAGGUGGGACAACCUACUGUUAGAUGCCUCCUGAUGCAGUGAAGCCCACAGCGUCACCUGUGAAGUAUCCGUGCCUAAAACAUCUCAUCUGAAUCCAACCAAGCCUAGGACCUGACUUCCAGGACACAGUGAGGUCUUGAAAAUAAUGUUUAUUCAGGAAUAGGCAUUGCCAUGGGAAUAUGGGUUCCAAGACACAGAGUGCUAGGGUUUAGAUGUCCUCUCCAAAACUCAUUUUGAAAUUAAUUGUCAUUGGGAAGGAAUUAAGAGCCAGGGCCUUUGACAGGUGAUUCGGUCAUGCCCUCAUCAGUAGAUUAAUGCUGUUACCAUGGAGAGAAUUAGUUCUUUGGGGAGGGAAGUUCAGCCCCCACCUGUACUCUCUCUGUCUUCGGUGCUUGCCUGCCCUUCUGCCUUUCUCCAUGGAGUAAUGCAGCACAAAAGCCCUCACCAGAUGUGGCCCCUCAAUCUUCCCAGCCUCCAGAACUGUG